GCCAGAUCGGCGGUAAGUGGCUUCAGUUGUGAGUGUUAAAUGUCGAGGGCAUCAAAAAUACAAAUUUAGAAAUGCUUAGUUGAAUAUUCCCUUCUAAAUGAUGCAACUUAGUAGUAACAGGCACUUGGGGCGAUCUAAGUAAAUUUAAUUAGGCCGCUUGGUUGGAUGCACUUAUUUGCACGUCAUUUACCGUUCUCGGAACCCUGUGGCCAGUCUUAAUUCUCUGCCCGUUUAAUGAUGGGAUGGUCAUUGGUUUGGAAAACUAACAAGUACGAACAUAAUGGAUAAUGCCCCAGCACGCGCGAAUCCAAGAGGUGUGAAAUUGGACUCAUGGGCGGCCCAUUUGGACGGUUCUCUGGCGGUUCUACGUCCUACCUGGACCAGAUGACCAUCGAGGAACGGUUUAUUUUUGUUUUUGGCGGAAGUGUAUGUAAUUUAAUAAGGCCUCCAUUUAAUUAAUGGGAUACUCGAAUCGAUUUGUAACGAAAAAGGUGUCAUAAGGUACUAUUUAUUGUAAAAAUAUCGUUUUCCAAGCUACCGUAUAUUUUAUUUAAAUGCUGAAUUUAAUUUUAAGGUUGGUACCAUUUCCAUUACCAUUACUUUUCUAUAAAAUAGUAUAUUUUACAGCCAAGACGAUUGAAUUAUGUUCCUAAAAGUAUUUCUAUUAAUUUAUAAUACCUUUUACCUUUAAUCUGACUUCAUCAAUAAGUUUUUUAAUAAUUGAGAACUUAGUAUCAAAGAAGGCCAACAUAAAGACGUAUCAAAAAGAUUUGGGAAAAUAUUAAUAAGUAUUUCUUCCCCCAUUAUAGGCUCACGCGGUAUGAUCUAUUUACCAGAUCUAACACAUUUUGAGAGUUGAUGUAAAUCCAAUUAAAAAUGUAUACUAUUUCGAGGUACAUCUUCAUAUUACCGACUUAU